UACUGAGGGUGCGAGCGUUAAUCGGAAUUACUGGGCGUAAAGCGCACGUAGGCGGAUACUUAAGUCAGGGGUGAAAUCCCGGGGCUCAACCCCGGAACUGCCUUUGAUACUGGGUAUCUCGAGUCCGGAAGAGGUGAGUGGAAUUCCGAGUGUAGAGGUGAAAUUCGUAGAUAUUCGGAGGAACACCAGUGGCGAAGGCGGCUCACUGGUCCGGUACUGACGCUGAGGUGCGAAAGCGUGGGGAGCAAGCAGG
rnacentral:rRNA from 1 species